rnacentral:misc_RNA from 1 species
GAUGAAGAACGCAGCAAAGUGCGAUAAGUAAUGUGAAUUGCAGAAUACCGUGAAUCAUCGAAUCUUUGAACGCAUAUUGCACUCUCUGGUAUUCCGGAGAGUAUGCCUGUUUGAGGGUCAGUUAAAAAAAAAUCAAGCGUUAUUGCUUUGGUGAUGACGUUUGGAAUUGAGUCGUCUUAAUCCUUACGGUCAAAGUGACUUAAAAUUUUUAAUGUGAUUUCGAAACGUAUUUAAUAUUUUACUUACGUUUGCGAUAUCAAAUAAUCUAUUAGAUGUGGUCAUUUUCCAUGAUUCGCGUCUAUAGUUUUCUCAUUAAAUGACCUCAAAUCAGGUAAGAGUACCCGCUGAACUUAAGCAUAUCAAUAAGCGGAGGA